rnacentral:rRNA from 1 species
GAUGAACGCUGGCGGCGUGCCUAAUACAUGCAAGUCGAGCGAAUGGAUUAAGAGCUUGCUCUUAUGAAGUUAGCGGCGGACGGGUGAGUAACACGUGGGCAACCUGCCCAUAAGACUGGGAUAACUCCGGGAAACCGGGGCUAAUACCGGAUAACAUUUUGAACCGCAUGGUUCGAAAUUGAAAGGCGGCUUCGGCUGUCACUUAUGGAUGGACCCGCGUCGCAUUAGCUAGUUGGUGAGGUAACGGGUCACCAAGGCAACGAUGCGUAGCCGACCUGGGAGGGUGAUCGGCCACACUGGGACUGAGACACGGCCCAGACUCCUACGGGAGGCAGCAGUAGGGAAUCUUCCGCAAUGGACGAAAGUCUGACGGAGCAACGCCGCGUGAGUGAUGAAGGCUUUCGGGUCGUAAAACUCUGUUGUUAGGGAAGAACAAGUGCUAGUUGAAUAAGCUGGCACCUUGACGGUACCUAACCAGAAAGCCACGGCUAACUACGUGCCAGCCGCCGCGGUAA